rnacentral:rRNA from 1 species
UCAAGCGAAUAAGUGCAUGUGGUGGAUGCCUUGGCGAUCACAGGCGAUGAAGGACGUAGUAGCUUGCGAAAAGCUGCGGGGAGCUGGCAAACGAGCUUUGAUCCGCAGAUGUCCGAAUGGGGAAACCCGGCCCGUAUGGGUCAUCCCUUGCUGAAUACAUAGGCAAGGGAGGCGAACGCAGUGAACUGAAACAUCUAAGUAGCUGCAGGAAAAGAAAUCAACCGAGAUUCCCAAAGUAGUGGCGAGCGAAAUGGGAACAGCCUUGUACUCUUUAGCAGUAUUGUUAGCGGAACGGAAUGGAAAGUCCGGCCAUAGUGGGUGAUAGCCCCGUACGCGAAAACAGUAUUGUGGAACUAGGUGUACGACAAGUAGGGCGGGACACGUGAAAUCCUGUCUGAAGAUGGGGGGACCAUCCUCCAAGGCUAAAUACUCGUGAUCGACCGAUAGUGAACCAGUACCGUGAGGGAAAGGCGAAAAGAACCCCGGGAGGGGAGUGAAAUAGAUCCUGAAACCGCAUGCAUACAAACAGUCGGAGCCUGGAAACGGGUGACGGCGUACCUUUUGUAUAAUGGGUCAGCGACUUACAUUCAGUGGCAAGCUUAACCGAUUAGGGAAGGCGUAGCGAAAGCGAGUCCGAAUAGGGCGUUCAGUCGCUGGGUGUAGACCCGAAACCAAGUGAUCUAUCCAUGGCCAGGUUGAAGGUGCGGUAACACGUACUGGAGGACCGAACCCACUAACGUUGAAAAGUUAGGGGAUGAGCUGUGGAUAGGGGUGAAAGGCUAAACAAACUUGGAAAUAGCUGGUUCUCUCCGAAAACUAUUUAGGUAGUGCCUCGUGUCUCACCUUCGGGGGUAGAGCACUGUCAUGGUUGGGGGGUCUAUUGCUGAUUACCCCGCCAUAGCAAACUCCGAAUACCGAAGAGUGCAAUCACGGGAGACAGACAUCGGGUGCUAACGUCCGGUGUCAAGAGGGAAACAACCCAGACCGCCAGCUAAGGUCCCUAAGAUUGGCUAAGUGGGAAACGAAGUGGGAAGGCUAAAACAGUCAGGAGGUUGGCUUAGAAGCAGCCACCCUUUAAAGAAAGCGUAAUAGCUCACUGAUCGAGUCGUCCUGCGCGGAAGAUGUAACGGGGCUAAGCCAGUCACCGAAGCUGCGGAUGCACGUAAGUGCAUGGUAGGAGAGCGUUCUGUAAGCCUGUGAAGGUGUCUUGUAAAGGAUGCUGGAGGUAUCAGAAGUGCGAAUGCUGACAUGAGUAGCGAUAAAGGGGGUGAAAGGCCCCCUCGCCGUAAGCCCAAGGUUUCCUACGCAACGUUCAUCGGCGUAGGGUGAGUCGGCCCCUAAGGUGAGGCAGAGAUGCGUAGCUGAUGGGAAGCAGGUUAAUAUUCCUGCACCGUCGUAUGAUGCGAUGGGGGGACGGAUCGCGGAAGGUUGUCCGGGUGUUGGAAGUCCCGGUCCCUACAUUGGAGAUGGCACUUAGGCAAAUCCGGGUGCGUGAUUCAAGGGUGUGGGGCGAGCGACGUUAGGUCGCGAAGCAAUUGGAAGUGGUUCCAAGAAAAGCCUCUAAGCUUCAGUCAUACGAGACCGUACCGCAAACCGACACAGGUGGGCGAGAUGAGUAUUCUAAGGCGCUUGAGAGAACUCGGGAGAAGGAACUCGGCAAAUUGGUACCGUAACUUCGGGAUAAGGUACGCCCUUGUAGUUUGACUGGCUCGCGCCAGAAGGAUGAAGGGGUUGCAAUAAAAUGGUGGCUGCGACUGUUUAAUAAAAACACAGCACUCUGCAAACACGAAAGUGGACGUAUAGGGUGUGACGCCUGCCCGGUGCCGGAAGAUUAAAUGAUGGGGUGCAAGCUCUUGAUUGAAGUCCCGGUAAACGGCGGCCGUAACUAUAACGGUCCUAAGGUAGCGAAAUUCCUUGUCGGGUAAGUUCCGACCUGCACGAAUGGCGUAACGAUGGCCACACUGUCUCCUCCCGAGACUCAGCGAAGUUGAAGUGUUUGUGAUGAUGCAAUCUCCCCGCGGCUAGACGGAAAGACCCCAUGAACCUUUACUGUAGCUUUGCAUUGGACUUUGAACCGAUCUGUGUAGGAUAGGUGGGAGGCUUUGAAACCGGGACGCUAGUUUCGGUGGAGCCGACCUUGAAAUACCACCCUGGUUUGUUUGAGGUUCUAACCUUGGCCCGUGAAUCCGGGUCGGGGACAGUGCAUGGUAGGCAGUUUGACUGGGGCGGUCUCCUCCCAAAGUGUAACGGAGGAGUUCGAAGGUACGCUUGGUACGGUCGGACAUCGUACCUAAAGUGCAAUGGCAAAAGCGUGCUUAACUGCGAGACCGACAAGUCGAGCAGGUGCGAAAGCAGGACAUAGUGAUCCGGUGGUUCUGUAUGGAAGGGCCAUCGCUCAACGGAUAAAAGGUACUCUGGGGAUAACAGGCUGAUACCGCCCAAGAGUUCAUAUCGACGGCGGUGUUUGGCACCUCGAUGUCGGCUCAUCUCAUCCUGGGGCUGUAGCCGGUCCCAAGGGUAUGGCUGUUCGCCAUUUAAAGAGGUACGUGAGCUGGGUUUAAAACGUCGUGAGACAGUUUGGUCCCUAUCUGCCGUGGGCGUUGGAAUCUUGACGGGGGCUGCUCCUAGUACGAGAGGACCGGAGUGGACGUACCGCUGGUGUACCUGUUGUCUCGCCAGAGGCAUCGCAGGGUAGCUAUGUACGGAAGAGAUAACCGCUGAAAGCAUCUAAGCGGGAAACUCGCCUGAAGAUGAGGAUUCCCUGGAGACUUGAUCUCCCUGAAGGGUCGUUCGAGACCAGGACGUUGAUAGGCUGGGUGUGGAAGCGCAGUAAUGUGUUCAGCUAACCAGUACUAAUUGCCCGUGCGGCUUGAUCC